AAUACAUGCAAGUCGAGCGGACCGACGGGAGCUUGCUCCCUUAUGUCAGCGGCGGACGGGUGAGUAACACGUGGGUAACCUGCCUGUAAGACUGGGAUAACCCCGGGAAACCGGGGCUAAUACCGGAUGCUUGAUUGAACCGCAUGGUUCCAAUCAUAAAAGGUGGCUUUUAGCUACCACUUACAGAUGGACCCGCGGCGCAUUAGCUAGUUGGUGAGGUAACGGCUCACCAAGGCGACGAUGCGUAGCCGACCUGAGAGGGUGAUCGGCCACACUGGGACUGAGACACGGCCCAGACUCCUACGGGAGGCAGCAGUAGGGAAUCUUCCGCAAUGGACGAAAGUCUGACGGAGCAACGCCGCGUGAGUGAUGAAGGUUUUCGGAUCGUAAAACUCUGUUGUUAGGGAAGAACAAGUACCGUUCGAAUAGGGCGGCACCUUGACGGUACCUAACCAGAAAGCCACGGCUAACUACGUGCCAGCAGCCGCGGUAAUACGUAGGUGGCAAGCGUUGUCCGGAAUUAUUGGGCGUAAAGCGCGCGCAGGCGGUUUCUUAAGUCUGAUGUGAAAGCCCCCGGCUCAACCGGGGAGGGUCAUUGGAAACUGGGGAACUUGAG
rnacentral:rRNA from 1 species